UUCCCUGAGAUAAGAACAUACCCGAACUAAGGAGUCCUGAGAUGAAUCGAGUCCCAGUUCGGAAUCACUUUGUGGUUCCAAGUGGAUCCAAGUCCUGGCUCGGGAAUCCAGGAAUUUCAGGAAUUUUGAAAUUGAGAAUGUUCACUGUUUGAGGGAGGAGAGUUUAGCUGCCUCAGCAAGCUUUACACGCAACAUCCUGGACAAAGGACAAGACCUGCAAGAUCCAACGCGUGGAUGAUGAUGUUUUGGUUUUUAUUUGGAAUCAGAGUUUGGUUGAAAAACCCAAGCCAUCAUGCACAUCUCUAGACCCUCCUCCCUCAUAAAUUUGCUUCGGAGUAAAAAUAAUAUUACAUUUACUAUAAGCAAUUCUUUCUUCCUCUACCUGCCUUCCACUACAUACAUACUUCAACUCCCAUGGGCCUCUAGUCUAGUUAUUAUUUAUUGAUUAAUGAAAUAAAGCUUUCCUGGUUACUUUCUAUGGGAUCAAAUACUGUAGUUCUGUUUCCUAGAUGAGCCAUGUUGGAGUUUUAAGAGCCACAUGUUCGGGCCACCCACUGCUGCCGCUUAGCUUAGUCAUCCAGCUACCAUGGUGCAACCUUUUGGCCUAAACUGGAUAAAAACAAUAUUGUGAGCUGUGAGGUGAGAAUAGACUGGAAAUGAGUGGAAAUAAAUGUUAUUUAGGUUAGUAAUACUGUAGGAACAAAAAUGCCCCCAAAUUAUGUUAUUUCAGCAGUUUUUUUUUAUAAAAAAAAAAAUCCAGGUCCAAAGAAACCCCAAAAACAAAACCCGCAAAUGCGGUUUUGGCAAAACCCAGUCCAGAUACAAAACACGAAGGAGAUCCAGAACCAAAACCCAAAAAAUGGCUCGGCAAACAAACCUAGAUUUAGCAAGGUACAGGAGGGAAACAUUCAUCAAAGGAAGAGAAGUAUCAGAGGUGGUAGAGGUUAAUAUAGUACAGAAAUGUAAACAUGCUAUCCUUACAAAGAACUAAGGAUAUGUUAUGGCAAGAGAAAGUGGACUCUUUUGUGGGGCACGCUUAUAAUUAAAACAACUUUUAUUGUGAAUUUAUCUAAAAAACUAGCACAUAUUAGAGAGAAACAGUAUAAAAC